rnacentral:rRNA from 1 species
UACAGAGGUCCCAAGCGUUGUUCGGAUUCACUGGGCGUAAAGGGCGUGUAGGCGGGAUGGCAAGUCGGUCGUGAAAUCCUUCGGCUCAACCGAAGAACGUCGGCCGAUACUGCCGUUCUUGAGGGAUGCAGAGGAGAUUGGAAUUCCCGGUGUAGCGGUGAAAUGUGUAGAGAUCGGGAGGAACACCGGUGGCGAAGGCGGGUCUCUGGGCAUCUCCUGACGCUGAGGCGCGAAAGCGUGGGGAGCAAACAGG